rnacentral:lncRNA from 1 species
UCUUCAUUCCCUCCUCAUGUAAAAGCCUCAAAUCCGCCAAAUCAACACUUGUUUUUUUAUAUUUUUAAUUAAUUUUAUAAUAUAAAUAUAAAUUAAAGUUAAUUAAAUCCCUUUUCCCCCUUUCCUAGUAAUUAAACCCACCCACCUUACUCUUCUUUGUAAGAAGUCGCGUAUGUCCAUGGGCUAGCAGCAAAGCGAUACAUCCAAAGUCCGAAAUCUCUUCCCCAAAUUUCAAUCGAAUCGGAGAAGCUUAAAACCAAAUCUCUUUCUUUUAGCCUGUCAAAGAUUCAUUCCUCCAAAGUGUUGAUUCAACUUCUUAUAGUUUUAUUUCAAAGCUCAUACUGACCUUCCCCAAAUUCAAAUCGAAACCGGAGAAGCCGUCCAAACGAAUCGGAGACUCAACUUUUUAUAUAUUUAUCCAGUAAGUUUUGUUCAAUCGAAUCGGAGAACCCGUCCAAACGAAUUGGAGAUUCAACUCUUUAUAUAUUUUUCCAGUAAGUAUUGUUAUCUAAUUUGGGUUUUUUCCUUUAAUCAUUCAUUUUUCUUCAAUUUUACAUCUUCUUAUAACCAACAGUAAAUUCUUCAAUUUUAGGUUUAAAGUGUCUGUCUUAUUGCUUGCUCUAUUGGGUUCCUUUCUCAAAUAGAUUAAUCUUAGCCAAUGGUAAGCUAUUGCUUCUAGGGAAAAACAUUGUGCAUCCCACAUUAUAAAGCAAUAUUUUACGCUCCUUUCAUUGUAUUACCUUUGAAAUACAGAAGAUGUUUGGACGGUAGCAGGACCAACCGUUAGUCUGAAAUAUCUUUCAUUUAGUUUGGUUGAACUUCCGAUAUUUCGUCGUCGUUAGGUCUCUUAGAGUUGACUCCUCUCUGCUUAUUUUUUUCUCAAAUUUUAUGUUCAUAUAAUCGGCAUCAAUUAGGAUAAUUGAAUUGAUUGAUACUCUGUAAUUUUUCUCUAAAUCUCUAUGUGUGUGUGUCUGCUUUCUCUCCUUUCAGGUAGAGUUUUAGCAUUCCGUUCCCCAAGCAGAAAACCAAGUAUUAUUAAGAGCUGGACACUGUUGCUGAUGUUGUCAAGCGAGCUUGUCGUCCAUCAGCUGAUGUAUCUCCACUCAUUGUAAAUAAUUAGCUAAUUACUCCGUCGCUUCCGUUUAUAUGACUACAUUUCAUGAGUAGACUCAACUUUAACAUGUUAAUUUGACUUAUAUGUUAGAUUACUGUUAGUGAAAGGGUGUUUGACACGAAGUUUAAAAUUUAUAUUUUGACUUAUUCACUACUAUGUUGAUGAAUGUUGAAGUGAAGAUAAUUCUAAAAAGUUACAAAAGCGUAAAUAAGACCACAGUAUAUAGCUCAUAAUUAGACGAAAAUAUUGAAGUGAAGAUAAUUCUAAGAAGUUACAAAAGCAUAAAUAAGACCACAGUAUAUAGCUCAUACUUCUUUGACAAGCAUGAUAACAUUGACCACCAAUAGCUGUGACUAUGCAACAUCCACCUAGACACCCGUUGAAUACAUUAGCAUUAGAAGAUUGUAGUGGGAAUAUUUCACUUGAUUGUUGAAUCUCUUAUUAAUUCAGUAGCUGUGAGUAUGCGCUUUCCACCUAGGAACUAGUUGUAUACUUUUAAGUAUUGAGAGAUUAUGGUUUCCAACUGUUUGAUUUGUUCAGUCAAUGCACACUUUGAACAUUUUUUUUUUAUUGUUAAUGCACAGUUUGAACAUUUUUGUUCGAACUACUGAGUUCCAUACUCUCACAAAGUGACAUACUACUGAGUUGCAUACUCUCACAAAGUGACAUACUACUGAGUUGCAUACUCUCACAAAGUGACAUGGAACUGCUGGCACAGUUUGAACAUUUUUGUUUGCUUGUUAUCAUCUCUUCAAGAUCUGCUGCUGUUUUUGUUCUGAUCCAGAAGGUUUCAAAGACCCUUUUUCAGGUUCACUUAUUGUUAUUCCCUUCUCUUGCUGCACAUGUGUUGUGUUGUUGCUUCAGGGAUCUUUGCCAGUGAAUCGAAAAAGGAUUGUUCAAUGCUUUCUUCACUCUAUAUUAGGCAGGGAUCUCUGCCAGUGAAUCGAAAAAGGAUUGUUCAAUGCUUUCUUCACUCUAUAUUAGGAGGUGAAUUUUGUAACAAGUAGUGUCUUCAGAACUGAAGAAUAAAUUGUCUUCCUGAUCUGCUAUAUAUGAUCCUAUUAUCUUAUUUUAAAUUCUCGUAGAGAUAGUCAGAACUUCUACUCGAAUUACUAUGUCUAAGCCGUUGACAAGAGGUAUGCGUUGGACUACAUCAUGUAUGUCUUAAUAGAAACAAUUGAAGUUGCUAAAAUUACCAUGAACAUUCAUCAAAACUGAAGAAUGAACUGUCUUCUACACUUUUAUAUACGAUGAAAUGAAAAGUAAAGAAGAUUAGAGUUAAUUCAUGGCCUAGCUUGACUAAUUUUUUAAAUCAUUCAUGUUUAUGACAGUUUUUAGAUUAUGUUGAAUUAUAUCAAGAAAAUCCAUUUUGGCUUUUGAAACGAGUAGUUGUCGUGAAGAGUAAUAGCUUUAUUUAUCCUUUUUUGUAGGUGGAGUAGAUCAAGAAAUUGAAGAAGAUGAUGGAAGUGAAGAACUAGACCUUACAUGAAUUUUGAAUUGCUAUAGAUGAAUGUUCUAUAACAACCUUUUGUUAUCAAUAUUUUUAAAACUUACUCUCUUGAAAUGUAUUAAACUUAUGCAUUUGGGAUAGAACAUGGAUAAAUUAUAUUAUUAGUAGUUUUAUUUUAUGAUUUAUUUAAAUUGUAUAUUACUAUAAUUUAUUAUAUAUAUAUAUAAAUAUUUAUUAAUAACUGGUG